rnacentral:rRNA from 1 species
GAUGAACGCUGGCGGCGUGCCUAAUACAUGCAAGUCGAGCGGACGGACGAUGAGCUUGCGGCUCUGAUGUUAGCGGCGGGCGGGUGAGUAACACGUGUAUAACCUACCUAUAUGACUGGGAUAACUUCGGGAAACGGUAGCUAAUAGCGUAUAAUAUUUUGAAGCGCAUGGUUCAAAAGUGAAAUACGGUCUUGCUGUCACGUAUAGAUGGAUCUGCGCUGCAUUAGCUAGUUGGUAAGGUAACGGCUUACCAAGGCAACGAUGCAUAGCCGACCUGAGAGGGGGAUAGGCGACCCGGGAACGUAGACAGCGUCAAGAGUCCUACGGGAGGCCGCAGUCGGGUACGUUACGCAGUAGGCGAGAGCCUGACGGAGCGACGCGGCGUGAGUGAUGAAGGCCUUCGGAUCGUAAAACCCUGUUAUUAGGGAAGAACCUAUGUGUACGGAACCGUGCCCAGCUUGACGGUACCUAGUAAGAAAGCCACGGCUAACUACGUG